GAGGGGCAGGGAAAGGAAAUGCGACGGCUCGAGGGAGAGCCGGGCCUCCGCGACCCUCCAAGAUAUCAGUCAAACUUUGAGCUGAGUGCUGUAACCACCUAUUAAAACGCCAGUGAAGGGACUUCCUUUCCCUGGUUGCACAGUGGUUAAGACUCUGCCCUCCGAAAGCAGCGGGCCCGGUUCGACGCCUGGUCAGGGAACUAGAUCCCACAUGCAUGCAACUAAGAGUUCCAACGCCACAGCUAAGGAGCCAGUCUGCCACAGCUAAGACCCGGUGCAACCAAAUUAAAAAGGAAUCCUCAGCUCUGCUCUGAAAACAUUUCAACGGAUGAACCAGGCUCACCCAGCUUUAGGCUCCCUUACUGAAAGUUAACUGAUGAAGGACUUGAAUCACAUCUACACGACACCUUCACAGCAACACCUAAGGCUGAGCAUCCUCUACUGCCCAGUGCUGAUUCCAUACUGAAGAUGCCUGUGUGGGUCUCCAGCAGGCUGGUCUUGUCCCCACCAUGAUGAUCACAGUCUCUGUCCAAUGAAAAUGUUGGCUUCGUCCAUUUGCUCAUUUAUUCAUUCAACAAAUAUUCACAUUGUGUAUAGUUACUACUACCUGCUAAGUUCUAUAUGCUAAGGGACACAGAGAGGGCUGAAGCGCUGAUCUCCGAGAGCUGAAAUUAAAAUGGCAGAGGCUGACAAGUGGGAAACAUGUGUUAGAUGCUGUGGAAAAGCUUCUCUGAGAAAGUGAUGCCUGAACUGAGGUUUGGAAAACAGCAAACCAGGAAAAGAAUGAGGGAAGGGUAUUCCAGACAGAAGAAAGAGCAGGAGCAAAGGCAUGAACAGAACUGGGCAUGGUUUGUUAGGGAGACCGUAUCAGCAAUGGUUGAAGGAACUGAGAACAUUAAACCUAUAAAAACGAAUAUGUUUCUCAACACACAGGAUUCCUAUGCCCUUAAAAUGCUUGUGGUCCAAAAACCAUGCACGGUUGUGAUAGGCAGUCAUGAUCCCAGAAUGUGAGCCAGGCAGCAAACCUAGAGAUUCUCAAUGUCUUCAUGUGGAAAAUGGGUAUAAUUAUUACUUCAUAGAAGGAGAUAAAAUAUGGAAAGUUCACAUCUGAUAUUAAGACCAUAGCUGUGAACAAGGGGGAGUAUCAAGGGCCACAGUGUGGCUCUUUGCUAGGCCAGCCUGGAGAUCCCGAGGGCCAAGUCUUACCUCUCCUAAGCAAUUCUUGAAAAGUGAUGCUUCACAAAAUCAGUGUUCCCCAUAUGUUUUUGACCAUACACGCUUGUCAGUUACAAAGUUUUGAAUGCACCCCACAAACUCAGAUCAUGUAAGUAUAUCACUAUACUAAUGUAGUGUACCCAUUAUGAAACAUAACUGAGAUUUAAAAGUAUGAGAUGAAGACUAAAUAAACAAUUUAAAUACAUUGUUUUUACUUAUCAGUGAUGCCAAAAGCCCUUGACCUAUCUCCCAUGAGGAGUACCAUUUUUCGUGAGGGCACCCCGAUUAUACAUACUUCAUUUCUGAAAAAUCUUGAUUUACAUGUGGUGAUACAGGGAUUUGAAGGCUUAUUUAUAAGCCUGGUCUUCAUGGCAUUAGCAGUUGAAGCAGAUCCCUCACAAAGAUGCAAAUGGAAGAAGUCAUCCUUGGCUGAGUUUACGAAGUUAUGAUAACCAUCAGUAGCUUAGUGAGGCCAAAUGGUGCCUGCUGGCAAUAUAAUAAUGCCCUGUCUUCCUAGACUUGCCCAGAAAUGA